UACGUAGGGGGCUAGCGUUGUCCGGAAUCAUUGGGCGUAAAGCGCGCGUAGGCGGCCCGGUAAGUCCGCUGUAAAAGUCAAAGGCUCAACCUUUGAAUGUCAGUGGAUACUGCCGGGCUAGAGUCCGGAAGAGGCGAGUGGAAUUCCUGGUGUAGCAGUGAAAUGCGUAGAGAUGCGGAGGAACACCGAUGGCGAAGGCAGCCCCCUGGGCCAACACUGACGCUCAGGCACGAAAGCGUGGGGAGCAAACAGG
rnacentral:rRNA from 1 species